GACGAACGCUGGCGGCGUGCUUAACACAUGCAAGUCGAACGGAAAGGCCCUGCUUUUGUGGGGUGCUCGAGCGGCGAACGGGUGAGUAACACGUGAGUAACCUUCCCUUUACUUUGGGAUAACUUCAGGAAACUGGGGCUAAUACCUGAUAGGAGCUCCUGCUGCAUGGUGGGGUUUGGAAAGUUUAGGCGGUUGUGGAUGGACUCGCGGCUUAUCAGCUUGUUGGUGGGGUAGUUGCUUACCAAGGCUUUGGAGGGUAGCCGGCCUGAGAGGGUGACCGGCCACAUGGGGACUGAGAUACGGCCCAGACUCCUACGGGAGGCAGCAGUGGGGAAUAUUGCACAAUGGGCGGAAGCCUGAUGCAGCAACGCCGCGUGCGGGAUGACGGCCUUCGGGUUGUAAACCGCUGUCGCCUGUGACGAAGCGUGAGUGACGGUAAUGGGUAAAGAAGCACCGGCUAACUACGUG
rnacentral:rRNA from 1 species